AUUGAACGCUGGCGGCAGGCUUAACACAUGCAAGUCGAGCGGGGUGAUGGUGCUUGCACUGUCACUUAGCGGCGGACGGGUGAGUAAUGCUUAGGAAUCUGCCUAUUAGUGGGGGACAACAUCUCGAAAGGGAUGCUAAUACCGCAUACGUCCUACGGGAGAAAGCAGGGGAUCACUUGUGACCUUGCGCUAAUAGAUGAGCCUAAGUCGGAUCAGCUAGUUGGUGGGGUAAAGGCCUACCAAGGCGACGAUCUGUAGCGGGUCUGAGAGGAUGAUCCGCCACACUGGGACUGAGACACGGCCCAGACUCCUACGGGAGGCAGCAGUGGGGAAUAUUGGACAAUGGGGGGAACCCUGAUCCAGCCAUGCCGCGUGUGUGAAGAAGGCCUUAUGGUUGUAAAGCACUUUAAGCGAGGAGGAGGCUCUUUUGGUUAAUACCCAAGAUGAGUGGACGUUACUCGCAGAAUAAGCACCGGCUAACUCUGUGCCAGCCGCCGCAGUAA
rnacentral:rRNA from 1 species